CCUACGGGAGGCAGCAGUGAGGAAUAUUGGUCAAUGGGCUUACGCCUGAACCAGCCAAGUCGCGUGAGGGAAGACUGCCCUAUGGGUUGUAAACCUCUUUUGUCAGGGACGAAGCAAGUGACGGUACCUGACGAAUAAGCCACGGCUAACUACGUGCCAGCAGCCGCGGUAAUACGUAGGUGGCAAGCGUUAUCCGGAUUUACUGGGUGUAAAGGGCGUGUAGGCGGGACUGCAAGUCAGAUGUGAAAACCACGGGCUCAACCUGUGGCCUGCAUUUGAAACUGUAGUUCUUGAGUACUGGAGAGGCAGACGGAAUUCCUAGUGUAGCGGUGAAAUACGUAGAUAUUAGGAGGAACACCAGUGGCGAAGGCGGUCUGCUGGACAGCAACUGACGCUGAGGCGCGAAAGCGUGGGGAGCAAACAGGAUUAGAUACCCGAGUAGUC
rnacentral:rRNA from 1 species